rnacentral:lncRNA from 1 species
GCUGGUUUGAUUGUCAUCAUCAAUUUCUCUCCGAACGUCAUCUUUUUUGAAAGCAGUGGGAUAGUUUCAGAAGGAAUAAGAUAGAAAAAGACCGUGCACCCCUGUGCCUCAGUGGUAUGAAAGGAUUUUAGAGGAUAUUCUAAAUGGAUGAAAUCCAGUUUGGCAUACUAUUUGACAAGUAGAAACCUUAGGGGUUUGGUAGAAGAAAUUUCAAAUUUUAGCUAAUACUACUUUAAUCCUAGUAUGCAGACAAAGCUGACUUAAGUGGGCCAAAAUGAUGAUGAUGGUGGUGAGGGAGCAGAGUAGAAGAUAUCAAUAUUUGCCUAUCCCGCUCGUGAAUUUGGGCACAAAGUUUCUUGGAUUUUAACUGAUAUUAAAUUACGACAGGUAGAGGCAUAUAUUCCACUAAACUG